AAUGAACGUUGGCGGCAUGGAUUAGGCAUGCAAGUCGAGCGAGAAGCCUUUUUGCUUGCAUUAAGGUGGACAGCGGCGCAAGGGAGAGUAACGCGUAGAAAUGUACCCCAAGGUCUGGGAUAGCGGCGGGAAACUGCCGGUAAUACCGGAUGAUGUCUUCGGACCAAAGUUUUUCGCCUUGGGAGCAGUCUGCGUACUAUUAGCUUGUUGGUGGGGUAAUGGCCUACCAAGGCUUAGAUGGUUAGCGGGCGUGAGAGCGUGGCCCGUCUCACUGGGACUGAGACACUGCCCAGACACCUACGGGUGGCUGCAGUCGAGAAUCUUCCGCAAUGGGCGAAAGCCUGACGGAGCAAUGCCGCGUGGUGGAUGAAGGCCUUCGGGUUGUAAACACCUGUCAGUAGGAAGGAAAUUUUGACCGAUCUACAGAGGAAGUCCGGGCUAAGUACG
rnacentral:rRNA from 1 species